rnacentral:rRNA from 1 species
GACGAACGCUGGCGGCGCGCCUAACACAUGCAAGUCGAACGGAGUUAUUUCGGUUGAAGUUUUCGGACGGAUUUCGGUUUAACUUAGUGGCGAACGGGUGAGUAACGCGUGAGUAACCUGCCCUGGAGUGGGGGACAACAGUUGGAAACGACUGCUAAUACCGCAUAAGCCCACGGCCCGGCAUCGGGCUGAGGGAAAAGGAUUUAUUCGCUUCAGGAUGGACUCGCGUCCAAUUAGCUAGUUGGUGAGGUAACGGCCCACCAAGGCGACGAUUGGUAGCCGGACUGAGAGGUUGAACGGCCACAUUGGGACUGAGACACGGCCCAGACUCCUACGGGAGGCAGCAGUGGGGGAUAUUGCACAAUGGGGGAAACCCUGAUGCAGCGACGCCGCGUGGAGGAAGAAGGUUUUCGGAUUGUAAACUCCUGUCGUUAGGGACGAAUUCUGACGGUACCUAACAAGAAAGCACCGGCUAACUACGUGCCAGCAGCCGCGGUAAAACGUAGGGUGCAAGCGUUGUCCGGAAUUACUGGGUGUAAAGGGAGCGCAGGCGGACCGGCAAGUUGGAAGUGAAAUCUAUGGGCUCAACCCAUAAAUUGCUUUCAAAACUGCUGGCCUUGAGUAGUGCAGAGGUAGGUGGAAUUCCCGGUGUAGCGGUGGAAUGCGUAGAUAUCGGGAGGAACACCAGUGGCGAAGGCGACCUACUGGGCACCAACUGACGCUGAGGCUCGAAAGCAUGGGUAGCAAACAGGAUUAGAUACCCUGGUAGUCC